ACUUAAAUAGCUUAUAUUUAGAGCAUGAUAUUGAAGAUAUUAAGGAAAUUAAUAGAAUUUUUAAGUA
rnacentral:tRNA from 1 species